rnacentral:lncRNA from 1 species
AUAUUUGCUGUGGGGUCACACCUCCGUGCUAUGUGCCAUCAGUAGUAGGAAUAUCCUGGCCAUCUAGGCAACAUCUCUUUCUAGAAUACUGAACUCUUAUGUUUGGUUUACUUGCUGUUCUCCCCCACACUGCAAGGCUGAAAUAUAUCCCAGUGAGGCUGCAAAGGAUGUGGAAGGAAAGCUACAGAUGGCAGGUGGCAGCCUGCAGAACCAAGCACAGCCCUGACCUGAUGAGCUGCUUCUCAUCCAGAACUAAUAAAACCAAAGAUUAAGAGGGAAGAGAGAGCCAAUUCAGUGCAGGUACACUGCAAGGGCCAAAGUUGCACCUCAUGUUUGGUGCUGGAAACCAAAUACAGCAGGAAAAUAAAACAACAUGUGAU